GUGUCAGCCGCCGCGGUAAGACGUAGGGUGCAAGCGUUGUCCGGAUUUACUGGGCGUAAAGAGCGCGUAGGCGGUCCAUUAAGUGUGAAGCUAAAUCUCCCGGCUCAACCGGGAAACUAUUUCGCAUACUGAUGGGCUGGAGUGAUGCAGAGGUGGAUAGAAUUCCCGGUGUAACGGUGAAAUGUGUUGAUAUCGGGAGGAAUACCCGUGGCGAAGGCGGUCCACUGGGCAUCAACUGACGCUGAGGCGCGAAAGCGUGGGUAGCAAACAGGAUUAGAUACCCCCGUAGUCC
rnacentral:rRNA from 1 species